GAUUAUUUUUAAGUUCUUGUUUUAUUUCUAAGUUCAUAUGUUUAUCUUUCGUUACUAUCUUAAAUUUUGUUACAUUUCCUUUACUCUUCUGUAAAGGGGUGAGGAGAUUACGGAGGAGGGGUGGGGUGAUUACUCAUUACUAAAGUAUCAAACGAAAAUUAUACAUCUAGAAGAUACAGACGAAAGUAAAUAAAUAGCAAUACUAAAUAACUUUUUCGAUAGAAUACAAUAUUUCAUAUAAUGUCUGAUACAAUAUAGAUCUAUCUCCAUUUUCAUUUAUCCAUUUCACAAAACUGAGUGGUUUGAUAAUAUACUGAAAUAUAUCCAUUCAGUGAUCACUUUCCUAUAAUAAAUGCAUAUAAAGCUUCUUCUAACCAGUACAAUAAGUAAUUGUUCAUGUCAAAUGAUAUUUUAUUGAUUUAUCCUAUGUGUUCUCAUUGAGGGAUGCCAUCGAGAUUUACGCAGAAUAUUUUAGCAAUAUGUCAGAUUCACUGGCGAGAGCACUCUUCGGAUAUCUGGUUUCGCAAUAAUGACCGUAAAGAUUAGCCUCAUCGUGGGGGACACGAAUCGAGAGCAUGUGGUUCCAGCGUUGAUUUUGUCUUUGAGACACACGAUAGCCGUGCUUCUUUUUACCCCUUCAGCGUUGCGCGUAUAUCGGUUGGUUAGUUAGCGAUACUUUCGCGCUUCACAAAGAUCGCACGCAGUAACGUCACGUUUCAUUAACGUUCACCACUGCAAGUAUUAUACAAAUAAUGAUAAUAAAAGACUGCAGAUUUUUGUACAACACAACAAAUUUAUAUUAAUUUGAAAAAUUUACUUUAAACAGAAAUACCUUCAUUUGUUUUGCUAUACAGGGUGUCGCGAAAAUCGUGGUACAACAGGUCGGGUGAUAAUUCUAGAUGUAAAAAUAAGUCAAAAAAGAAAGAAUAACAUUUUUUCAUUUAAUGCUCAGUUUUUGAAAGAAAAAGAGUUCGAAUAUUCGUCAGGUACCUUUGUAUUGCCUGUAAGGUAUACGCAAUAAUUUAGUUUUACGAGCAGAGCUGCAUGCGCAGCAACAUGAUCAACAAUUUGAAAAUCUGUUACAUUAAUAAAGUGAUUCUUAACAAGUACUAAUCUUAUUCUUAUUUAUGAAACUAUUCAAUUUACAUACAGAAUAAAGGAAAGUAGUAAUCGAUGUCAUGGUAAUAAGAUCGCAACAAUAACCGGAAGCAAAAUACGAUAUUGUCGAUGUUUAAUAACACAAAGGUAGAAACAGAAGUUUCAUACUUCAAAACUUACAGGUAAUACAAAGAUACCUAAUGGAUAUUUGAACUCAUUUUUUUCCAAAAAUUACGCGUUAAAUGAAAAAAUGUUAUUCUUUCUUUUUUGACUUAUUUUUACAUGUCGAAUCACGAGCCGAUAGUUAUACCACGAUUUUAGGGACACCCUAUACGUAUUGCAGCUUUUCAUACGUUUCGUUUUUUAAAAUCUACUAUGCAUAUUCAAUUUUUCGAUAAAUGCAAUUUAUGCAUUAUGUAAGAAAAGCAUUAGGUAUAUUAUAUUCCUUUAUGCAGAAUUUUACAUACUUUUUUUACUUUAUAUGCAUUCUUCACAUCUUGUACACAUUGAAGUUCUCGAUAAAUUCGAUAAGUGCAGCUUAUUUAUUAUGUAAAAGAAGCAUUAUAUUAUAUUUUCCAUUCUCUUUUGGAGAAUUAUAUGUACUUUUUUACGUUACAUGCAUUCUUCACAUCUUGUAUACAUUGAAUUCUACCAUAAAUCUAUAAAAUGCAGUUUAUGUAAAGAAAGCAUUAUAGUAUAUUUUCUAUUCUUUUCAGAAGAAGAGUCAAUCAUUCAAGAGAAGGCAAGAACUACAUUUGUUACCUUAAUCAUGCAUCACUAUUUUUGAAGAGUAAAAUAUCUAAAUCAAGACUUCAUUUUGUAAAUCAAUCACAAAUGAUUUAUUUUACAUAAAAGUUUGUGACAUAUUCAGUGUUAAGCUAAGCUUGGACGAGAAUGACUUUUCAUAAAUAUGUGUGUAUAUAUAGUUACAUGAGUGGAAAGCGGAAACAGGACAAUGUCAGUUUGGGUAGCACUACUCGCUGCAAGCAUGUGACACUUGUCGUACCUACUUGAUGAUAUACGAAGAGAUAUUGUCAGCUCGGUGGUUCAGCUGUGGAUAAAACAAUGGAAACCGAGCGAAGUUACGAACUGGAUUGGCAGAUUUUUGUUCCGAGAUGAAAUUUCGCGGACAGCUGGUACACAAUCAGAGGCAACGAGACAAAUCCGUUGCAACGAGCAAAUAUUGAAUAAUUCAAGCGGAGUUUAUCCUUGGCCGGUGUCUAUGACGAGCGGGUUAUGUCACGCGAAAAUAUAUAGCCCCGGCCGGACAUUACACACGCAUACGCUAUCAUUGCGUAAGUACGAUUGCUCAUGUUUUAUUGUCCGCUUCUCGAAUCCACUUUUGAAUAAAAGCUUAUCUAUCAUACACGUCAUGUCGUACGUGAGUCGAACUUUCACAACUAUGAGUUGAAUCCCGUAUAUAGAGUCAAUCACAAAAGUCUUCAUAGAUCCCAUAAAAAUGGUAGUUUAAUAUUUAUUUUGUCACAGUACAGCUGAUACUUCCUCACUUACUAAUAAGUGAAUAUAAUAUUAAACAAAGUUAUUGGUUAUCUUAUUGAAUAUUGCAAAUUUCCUUUUUAUCGAUAAUAAUAUCAUGAAUGACUGUAUCUUUAACUAGCACUGUUCGUCACGUCACGCCAUCUGCGAUUUGCGUCGACGACAGCUACUCGUCCUCAAUUCACAUUUUUAGAAUCAAGUAAUAAAUAUAGUGAACAGAGAAAAUUUUUAUAAGUGCGUAUAACAUUCUUUGGUGAAUUAAAAAAUUAUAGGAAUGUAAUACUCUUCAAUCUUAUAGGUUGCAGAGAAAACGAUGAUACAUAAUUGCGUCAUCAUAUGUUCGUUUGGAAGUCGAGUUCAGAAAUAUUUACUUAUAAUAGCAAAUGUGUACACACAUUAACCGUAAUGUAGGAUACUAUUUGAUCUCAACAAACCGGAAAAUCGUAACGUAAUCGAUUGCAAUGAUUCAGGCGACCUUGACCAAGUUUGAAGGAAAUAGGAAAAAAACUUGGUUAACAGGAAUCUUUCCUAUUCCCCGAGAAUCAGCAUUAGGCCGCAGAUUUUUAUGCAAAAUUACAUGUUCACAAGCAUUUUAAUUGCAGGAAUUCUUCAUUCUCUAAAUUUAAUGGUAUGUGAUCUAAAUUAAUUGCUUACGUUCAUCGUGUGCAUUGUUUCACAUUCAAAUCUUCUGUGGGUACAUAAAAUUCUAGUCAUCGUCAAAUCAUUAAAUUGAUUGCAAAGUAUAUUAAUUAAUUUUUAUUCAAAACCUGUUUGCUAACUCAAUACGAAUAAACAAUGUAAAAAUUAUACAAUUUAAAAUCCUUUCUUAAUGGUGAUUCAGUAAAAAAAAAUUUCCUCACCACGCAAUCAAUCUCAACAAUUGCACAAUGUACAUUCGUAUUUCCUUAAUAAUAAUUCAACAAAAAAGAAUUUUCCAUCCUCCAGUUAAACGAAAUAUUAUACAAUUUAAAAUAUUCAUGUUUUCUUAACACGUUGAAUGCCACGCCAAUUUUACAGGGAUUGUCCAUGGCGCCACGAUGAAUUUUCUAUUAUGCGAUACAUAUAAUGUUGAAAUAUUAUCUGCAAUAGAUAAGUUACAGUGUAUAACAAUGUUUGACAUGUUAAUUGCGACGGGGU